rnacentral:rRNA from 1 species
GUCCACGCCCUAAACGAUGUCAACUGGUUGUUGGGUCUCUUCUGACUCAGUAACGAAGCUAACGCGUGAAGUUGACCGCCUGGGGAGUACGGCCGCAAGGUUAAAACUCAAAGGAAUUGACGGGGACCCGCACAAGCGGUGGAUGAUGUGGUUUAAUUCGAUGCAAACGCGAAAAACCUUACCCACCUUUGACAUGGCAGGAAGUUUCCAGAGAUGGAUUCGUGCUCGAAAGGAACCUGCACACAGGUGCUGCAUGGCUGUCGU